rnacentral:rRNA from 1 species
CCUACGGGAGGCAGCAGUGGGGAAUAUUGCACAAUGGGCGGAAGCCUGAUGCAGCAACGCCGCGUGCGGGAUGACGGCCUUCGGGUUGUAAACCGCUUUCGCCUGUGACGCGGUAAUGGGUAAAGAAGCACCGGCUAACUACGUGCCAGCAGCCGCGGUGAUACGUAGGGUGCGAGCGUUGUCCGGAUUUAUUGGGCGUAAAGGGCUCGUAGGUGGUUGAUCGCGUCGGAAGUGUAAUCUUGGGGCUUAACCCUGAGCGUGCUUUCGAUACGGGUUGACUUGAGGAAGGUAGGGGAGAAUGGAAUUCCUGGUGGAGCGGUGGAAUGCGCAGAUAUCAGGAGGAACACCAGUGGCGAAGGCGGUUCUCUGGGCUUCCUGACGCUGAGGAGCGAAAGCGUGGGGAGCGAACAGGCUUAGAUACCCUUGUAGUC